CAGGUUUCCACGCUGUCUGCCCACACCUGUGGGUGGGGAGGAAGUGGGGAUCAUGUCUUAACCUGAUGUGAAUUGACUGACUGGUUUCCCUGCCCCAAACUCAUCCCAAACUCCAUACGGCUGUCAUCUUCCUUCCAAGUAAAUGUGAAUGCAUAAGAUCACAGCCCACGGUGCAGAAGUAAGUUUCAAUGCGUUCAACAGGCUUUCUUCUCAAGUAAUGGAGGUGCAGCAGUGGAUAUUCUGGACCAAUGUCUUGCCUUAGUAAUGAAUCACAUAAGAGCCAAUAAACUGAAGCCUGGUCCAAACAAGAUUGCUCAACACGCCCAAUUCCUCAACUGUUCCUCAUAGGGCUUGCUUUCCAGACUCCUGGUUGCCUCCUCUGCACACAGUCUAGCUUAAAUUGUGGCUCCCAGAACCAGACACAGGACUCAAGGACUCCAGAAGCUAUGUGAUAUUCUCAUUUGAUAUGCUCCUUGUUUUAGGUGAAAUGUAACUUUUGAGUAGAUUUUGCAUCAUAAUUUUGUCCUUUGCUGUUGUAACAUAAAUUGUCUUGGCUAAUGUGCCUAGUCGAUAAAAAACCACUUUAAUGUUUUAAGAAAUA